AUGGAGGGGAAAACUAUUCUUCUUUGCCUUAUGGUGCUUGUGCUGCUAGGACAUUCAACUCAUGCUCGGAAUUGCCAUACCGAGCGUGCUUACUCAAGUCCAUUCGUUUGUCUAGGUAAACCUUGCCAUACAAAAUGCGUGAAGAAGUGGGGAAAGCUCUUCAAUCAUUCUUCCUGUAAAGUUCGAGGAUUCUUCAAAGUGUCCUGUGAAUGUGUUGUCUGUGAUCUGUGA
rnacentral:rRNA from 1 species